rnacentral:lncRNA from 1 species
GCACUAUUGGACAUCCUAGAAACCUCAUUCACAAGAUUUCAAGUUUGAAGUGAUAGUGUUUGCUACCAGAGCCCCUUUUCUGUCAAAGAAAUUAGAAGCAGGAAGGUUGAUGCAUUCCCCCACAGAAAGAAAAGAGGUCUUUUAGAAUAAUGUGAAACUCACACUCUGCAUGGGGACAGUUGGGCUCACAUAUUUUCCCACCGAUAGACAAGAGAUUACCAGAAAAGGGGUGAGGAAUCCAGAGAGAAUGUCUGCAUAAGAAGGAGGGUGGAGAUUUCUUACUGAACUAAAGGCUUCAAGAAUUG